ensembl:misc_RNA Y_RNA Y RNA
AGCCGGUCUGAAGGUAGUCAGUGAUCUCAGUUGAUUGUUCAGUCAGUUAUAGAUUGAUCUCCUGGUUCUGCUCUUUCCCCUCUUCUCACUACUGCGUUUAACUAGUCUUAA